rnacentral:misc_RNA from 1 species
UGUGCUACCAGCUUCUUUUGCCUGCCAAAGCAUAUAAUCAUGUCACUUAUUUAUCACAAGCAACAUAAGAAAUAUCAGAUACAACUUCACUACCAUGUGAAGAAAUCUUAUCUGUUUUGAUGAGAAAAGGUAAGUACCUAAUUAGCUGCUAGUCUAAUAGAAGAAUUCUAUCAGAUUGUUGAACAGUAUAUUGCAUUAACAAUAUCAAGUGUUUAUUUGUGAGGUGCUGUUUUUCCCCCUUCAGCUACCCUGUUUUGUGAACCAUACUUGAAAUGCAAAAAUGAAGCAAGUUCAUGAAAAAGCAAAGCAUAUCAAAACUAGGAUAGAUGCAUUGCUAGCAAUGUGAAUUGUUCAAUCUUGGCAUAAAAGUUCACUGAAACAAUAUAGCGUUUAUAUGAAGAAUGUUAAUCAGAAAACAUUCAACUUAAAUUAGCCAUGAAGGAAAGUGAACUCCAGAUACACAAUUAAGAGCAUAGUUUAGACUAGGACAAAUUUUCUGUUUGACAAAAAGGGGCAGGAUAUUUCUAUCAAACAAUCACAAUCCUAGGUAAAGCAUAAAUUUUUAUCACACAGGCCAUUAUGGUUCUAGUGGAAAGGUGAAGAUCAAAAUAAUUACAGCUUGAAAUGCUAGGAAGAAACUUG